rnacentral:RNase_MRP_RNA from 2 species
UUUCUGAUUGUAGGUAAGGCCUGUUUCCUAGGCUACAGGAAACUGGUUCCUUGUUCUUCUGCCUAGGGGAAAGUCUGCGGAGUGCCGCGUGCUGUGCACACGUACACAUCCCUCAUUUCUCACUGCUAAAACCCGCCAAGAAGCGAAUAUCUCACUGAGCUGCGUGGUGUGGAGGUGCCGUCUGUCAGCUCCACUAGUUACACAGGCAGUGUGUGUCUUAGCACACCAACCACAUGGGGCUCAUUCUCAGCCAGGC